rnacentral:rRNA from 1 species
AGAGUUUGAUCCUGGCUCAGGACGAUCGCUGGCGGCGUGCUUAACACAUGCAAGUCGAACGGAAAGGCCCUGCUUUUGUGGGGUGCUCGAGUGGCGAACGGGUGAGUAACACGUGAGUAACCUGCCCUUGACUUUGGGAUAACUUCAGGAAACUGGGGCUAAUACCGGAUAGGAGCUCCUGCUGCAUGGUGGGGGUUGGAAAGUUUCGGCGGUUGGGGAUGGACUCGCGGCUUAUCAGCUUGUUGGUGGGGUAGUGGCUUACCAAGGCUUUGACGGGUAGCCGGCCUGAGAGGGUGACCGGCCACAUUGGGACUGAGAUACGGCCCAGACUCCUACGGGAGGCAGCAGUGGGGAAUAUUGCACAAUGGGCGGAAGCCUGAUGCAGCAACGCCGCGUGCGGGAUGACGGCCUUCGGGUUGUAAACCGCUUUCGCCUGUGACGAAGCGUGAGUGACGGUAAUGGGUAAAGAAGCACCGGCUAACUACGUGCCAGCAGCCGCGGUGAUACGUAGGGUGCGAGCGUUGUCCGGAUUUAUUGGGCGUAAAGGGCUCGUAGGUGGUUGAUCGCGUCGGAAGUGUAAUCUUGGGGCUUAACCCUGAGCGUGCUUUCGAUACGGGUUGACUUGAGGAAGGUAGGGGAGAAUGGAAUUCCUGGUGGAGCGGUGGAAUGCGCAGAUAUCAGGAGGAACACCAGUGGCGAAGGCGGUUCUCUGGGCCUUUCCUGACGCUGAGGAGCGAAAGCGUGGGGAGCGAACAGGCUUAGAUACCCUGGUAGUCCACGCUGUAAACGGUGGGUACUAGGUGUGGGGUCCAUUCCACGGGUUCCGUGCCGUAGCUAACGCUUUAAGUACCCCGCCUGGGGAGUACGGCCGCAAGGCUAAAACUCAAAGGAAUUGACGGGGCCCCGCACAAGCGGCGGAGCAUGCGGAUUAAUUCGAUGCAACGCGUAGAACCUUACCUGGGUUUGACAUGGAUCGGGAGUGCUCAGAGAUGGGUGUGCCUCUUUUGGGGUCGGUUCACAGGUGGUGCAUGGCUGUCGUCAGCUCGUGUCGUGAGAUGUUGGGUUAAGUCCCGCAACGAGCGCAACCCUUGUUCACUGUUGCCAGCACGUUAUGGUGGGGACUCAGUGGAGACCGCCGGGGUCAACUCGGAGGAAGGUGGGGAUGACGUCAAGUCAUCAUGCCCCUUAUGUCCAGGGCUUCACGCAUGCUACAAUGGCUGGUACAGAGAGUGGCGAGCCUGUGAGGGUGAGCGGAUCUCGGAAAGCCGGUCUCAGUUCGGGUUGGGGUCUGCAACUCGACCUCAUGAAGUCGGAGUCGCUAGUAAUCGCAGAUCAGCAACGCUGCGGUGAAUACGUUCCCGGGGCUUGCACUCAACGCCCGUC